AGGUUCAAAGAGGCUAAGAUCUUACUUGAAGAAGAAGGAUCUACCAUGAGAAGAAAGAUUCAAGAUUGAUCCCGGUGGAUAUCUAUAGAGGUUGGAUACGUGUGCGGCUCCAGAAACUUCAGAUCUAAGAUCAUCAGUAGUGAUGUAUUUUUACCCAUGCAAAGGUAUUGAGAUUCGAUCUCAUCUUUAUUUUAAUUUUUAAAUUAUAUGCAUAUCUUUAUUCCUGGGCUC
rnacentral:lncRNA from 1 species